rnacentral:tRNA from 1 species
GCCCGGCUAGCUCAGUCAGUAGAGCAUGGGACUCAUAAUCUCGGGGCCGUGGGAUCCCACCCACGGGCA